UACGGGGGGAGCAAGCGUUGUUCGGAUUUACUGGGCGUAAAGGGCGCGUAGGCGGCGCAACAAGUCACUUGUGAAAUCUCCGGGCUUAACCCGGAGCGGCCAAGUGAUACUGUCGUGCUAGAGUGCGGAAGGGGCUACUGGAAUUCUCGGUGUAGCGGUGAAAUGCGUAGAUAUCGAGAGGAACACCUGCGGCGAAGGCAGCCCCCUGGGCCAACACUGACGCUCAGGCACGAAAGCGUGGGGAGCAAACAGG
rnacentral:rRNA from 1 species